rnacentral:lncRNA from 1 species
AGGGUCGGACACAAGGGCAGCUGGAGUAAGACCAUCGAGAGGUGGCGGGGCCUGGGGGCGCGAUCCGACGAUGGGACACAAGGGCAGUCGGGAUGGAGGUGAUGUGGGUAGGGUUGGAAUGUCAGAGGGGAGGGGAGCAGCAUAGGACAGCAUGGCAAAGGAAGGACGGACGGUCGGAAACAAAGGGCGUAGAAAGGGCCCGGGGUGGGGUAGGAUGG